GCUAUUGCUUUGUCUUUAAUGGAAGCAUACUUGUUGAGUGUCCAACAUGAAAAAACCACUCUACGAAUACUUCAAUCAAAGCUCGGAUCAGAAGAUCUUCGGACACAGGAUUCUGCUGCCUGGCUGGAAUACUUCGAGUCCAAGGCACUAGAGCAGCAGGAAGCAGCACGCAAUGGUACUCCAAAGCCUUUCAGGUAGUCGAGGCCGUUCAGGUCGCGAGCUAAGAAAAGAUGGUCUUCUCAGCCUCUCAGUGGUGCUACGGUAUUGCAAGGGCUUGCAUUGCCAUGGAACUUUGAACAUCUUCAGA